rnacentral:tRNA from 1 species
GGGAACGAAGUAUAAUUAUUACAUUUCAGUUACAUUGAAAAGAUCCAGAGUUUUGGUGUUCCUA